rnacentral:misc_RNA from 1 species
CCGAGUUCCAGCAACUCCCAACCCUUGCGAACCGUACCCCAGUCUGUUCUCGUUGCUUCCGGCGGGCCCUCUGAACCUUUUAUCUUAACCACCGAAGCCGUCUGAGCAAACAAACAAAAUAAUCA